rnacentral:lncRNA from 1 species
CUUUAAAUAUGAGAAGACUGCGGCCUCUCUCAUUACCAAUUCAUUUAAUUAUUUUUCUCAUCUUCUUCCUUCUCUCUAAACACACAAAAUCUUAACUUUUCAUCUCAAUUAAUGAGCUUCUAAAAAACUUCGAAUCCAAAAAGCUUGAUCUACAAAAGUGCUCUCCUACUCUAUGAGCAUCUAUUAGGCUAAGGAACUCAUCUUCCCUUUUCCUUAUCUUAAAACAGUAAACCCUAUGUAUAAGAAGGAGGAAUAGUUUUUCUAAAUUUUAGUUAUUGUUGAGGUAUAUAUGCGAAAUUAGUAUUGCAUAUUACUUUAUAAUCAAAAAAGGAAAAUAAACCCCCAAUUUUUUUGAGGUGGCUGAACCCUAUCCACUAAAAGGAGAAAAAUUAAUUUUUAAAUGUGUUUGAAUUAUGUGAUAAGUUUAUUUCAAAUAAAUGAGUUUGAAAUGACAUUAUAAACUUUACUAAAAUGGGAUGAGUUGUUAAAGUUAUGGAAAUUCCAAUACUUGAUGUGUUUACAAAAAAAUAAGUAUUUAUGAAAAGUAAAUUUGUUUGAAAAUUGGAUUGUUUAUUUGGAAAGUAAAAUAGUCCUUAUGUUGAUUUAAGGAAUGGGAAAGUUCAAAGUGAAAUAAGAUAUUUAAUUUAUGUUAGUAAGUAACUUUGAAAAUUUUAUUAUCUAAGAUCUUAUGUUGUGACUUACUAAUAGCUCCUCGAGUCUCAAAAAAAAAAAUCAAGAAUGUUGAUUCAUGCUAAAGAUGAUGCUUUUAAUGAUGGAGCAUAAGCCAAUGAGGGGAGGAACUAUAUGGUAAAGGUCUUUGAUGUCAUGAUUAUCUUGUCAUCAUAUAAGUAGAGUUUGACAAGCCUAAUAAUGUCGGAGAAUUACAACUAAAUGAGCAUGAUGGUGAAGGUUUGUUAUAGAGCCUUAAGACAAGAUUGUUAGACCUUGGAGGUAUUAUAGUAAGAUAUUCCUAAGUGACUUGGGAUAGCCCUCCCAAAGUCGGGACCUACCAUUCAACACCCAUUUACGUCAACCGUCAUGUAUAUGAGUCUCAUGUUAUGUUAAGGGGAUCUAUGAGGACAUAAGCGAUU